rnacentral:rRNA from 1 species
AGUUUGAUCCUGGCUCAGGACGAACGCUGGCGGCGUGCCUAAUACAUGCAAGUAGAACGCUGAAGACUGGUGCUUGCACUAGUCAGAUGAGUUGCGAACGGGUGAGUAACGCGUAGGUAACCUACCUCAUAGCGGGGGAUAACUAUUGGAAACGAUAGCUAAUACCGCAUGACAAUUAAGUACUCAUGUACUAAAUUUAAAAGGAGCAAUUGCUUCACUAUGAGAUGGACCUGCGUUGUAUUAGCUAGUUGGUGAGGUAACGGCUCACCAAGGCCACGAUACAUAGCCGACCUGAGAGGGUGAUCGGCCACACUGGGACUGAGACACGGCCCAGACUCCUACGGGAGGCAGCAGUAGGGAAUCUUCGGCAAUGGGGGCAACCCUGACCGAGCAACGCCGCGUGAGUGAAGAAGGUUUUCGGAUCGUAAAGCUCUGUUGUUAGAGAAGAACGGUAAUGGGAGUGGAAAAUCCAUUACGUGACGGUAACUAACCAGAAAGGGACGGCUAACUACGUGCCAGCAGCCGCGGUAAUACGUAGGUCUCGAGCGUUGUCCGGAUUUAUUGGGCGUAAAGCGAGCGCAGGCGGUUAUUUAAGUCUGAAGUUAAAGGCCGUGGCUCAACCAUGGUUCGCUUUGGAAACUGGAUAACUUGAGUGCAGAAGGGGAGAGUGGAAUUCCAUGUGUAGCGGUGAAAUGCGUAGAUAUAUGGAGGAACACCGGUGGCGAAAGCGGCUCUCUGGUCUGUAACUGACGCUGAGGCUCGAAAGCGUGGGGAGCAAACAGGAUUAGAUACCCUGGUAGUCC